rnacentral:rRNA from 1 species
UACGAGUGGUGCAAACGUUAUUCGGAAUCAUUGGGCGUACAGGGUGCGCAGGCGGUGCGUUAAGUCAACUGUUAAAUUUCCCGGCCUAACUGGGAAUCAGCGGUAGAUACUGGCGUGCUAGAGGGUGGAAGAGAGAAGUGGAAUUCUUGGAGUAGCGGUAAAAUGCGUAGAUCUCAAGAGGAACACCAAUGGCGAAGGCAGCUUCUUGGUCCACAUCUGACGCUCAUGCACGAAAGCGUGGGGAGCAAACAGG